GUUCAAGCUCAUCCAUUCUUUAGACACAUUAACUGGGAAGAACUUCUGGCUCGAAAGGUGGAGCCCCCAUUUAAACCUCUGUUGCAAUCUGAAGAGGAUGUAAGUCAGUUUGAUUCCAAGUUUACACGUCAGACACCUGUCGACAGCCCAGAUGACUCAACUCUCAGUGAAAGUGCCCAUCAGGUCUUUCUGGGUUUUACUUAUGUGGCUCCAUCUGUACUUGAAGUGUGAAAGAAAAGUUUUCCUUUGAACCAAAAAUCCGAUCACCUCGAAGAUUUAUUGGCAGCCCACGAACACCUGUCAGCUCUUCCUUGUCUUAAAGCCCAA
rnacentral:lncRNA from 1 species